GAGGUGGUCCCAAAGGGGGCAGAGAGAGAGGGCGGAGGGUGCUCGGAGGCUGGCAGAAGGGGCGGCCCUGGGUCUGUUCCGUCCAAACACAGUUGAAGCAAGAGAUACACCCAGGACCGCUGAGGCCUUCGCCAAAAGGUCAUCUUUCUUUUCUUUCCUGUUUUAACCCGCUCCCCAGGCCUUUCUGCUGGAGCUCGGGCGUCAGAUGCUUCCACUCAGGGCCCCAGAGGCGCAGGGAGGACUCAGCUGUGGGCCGUUAGCAUCCGCUUCCCAGCAGGCGAUGCCCGUGGCCCUGGCUCCGGUUCUGGCUGCCCCUUCCCUAGGCC